AGGCCAAGCUCACGGCAAGGGGCGUGGCAGCCAGAGACACCCCCGGAUGCGGGGUUCAGGCCCGAGAUGCUCCCCGCGGACAGGACGGGCAGACAGGUUCCAAAUACCGAAGAGCUUAGAAUCAUCUCAAAAUUUGAAAAAAAAUUACUUUUAUAAUCAUUAAUAACAAGCCCCUAAGACGAGUCUGCGUACGAGUUUUAGGUGUCGGAGGUGCAUCCAGGGAGGAGGCGGGGCAAGUGGACGGCCAGGUCACUGCACAUAAAGACUGAGAACAUUUCUCAAAC